CUGGGACUGGUGUACCGUGAGAAGAGUGGAAAGUAAAGAGGCUGGCUUUGAAAAUGUGUCUUCUCAGAGGCUGCCCCUACUCCCUAUUGCCAUUCAGCUGCAUUCCAUCGUCCUCUUCCUCACUGGUCGCUUUUUAUACCACAUCAAAAGGGGGCUGAGCUCUGGGACCAGGAACUGAGACGCCUCUGGACACGCACCAGCAGCAGCGGGUGCAGUGAGGGCUGGCUAGCUUCUCCCGAGUCUCCUUAAACACCCAGCCAUGGCCAGGGGCUUGUUGAGGUUAACGAGUUUCUGUUUAGUCUGCUUCUAGUCUUGUGUAUUUUCUCUGGAGUGUUGUUUUUGCAGUGCAGGGUGAGUCGGUGUGGGUGUUUGAAUGCUGCUGUUUGCUGUUUUUUAAAGGCCUUCUAGCCCUCCCAUGGGGUUGCUGCAGCAGGAAUUCUUACCUGUGCUUCAGCCCAGCAUACAGACUGCUGACAGGCACCACACGGUAACUCGAGGCAUCACCAAAGGCGUGAAGGAGGACUUUCGCCUGGCCAUGGAGCGCCAGGUCUCCCGCUGUGGAGAGAAUCUGAUGGUGGUUCUGCACAGAUUCUGCAUUAACGAGAAGAUCUUGCUCCUUCAGACUCUGACCUGAGUGGAGACCUUUCCACCAGACACAGCUCAGGGCUGUGUAAUUGUAGGAGAAGACACUCAGCAGUGAUUGACGUGGCACACAGCCAUGGUCAUUGUUGCUGUUACAAAGAAGAAAACCAUCUGAGUUCUAACUCCUUGGUUGCUUAAAAGUAGUUCCCAAGAGUCUGAGAAGCUAUUUCUAUUUUUAAGAGUCAUUUUUUGUAAUUUUUGUAAAACAAAAGACCCAAUCUG
rnacentral:sRNA from 1 species